rnacentral:rRNA from 1 species
ACACUCUGCGGGAGGCAGCAGUGAGGAAUAUUGGACAAUGGGUGGAAGCCUGAUCCAGCCAUCCCGCGUGCAGGAAGACGGCCCUAUGGGUUGUAAACUGCUUUUAUCUGGGGAUAAACCUACUUACGUGUAAGUAGCUGAAGGUACCAGAAGAAUAAGCACCGGCUAACUCCGUGCCAGCAGCCGCGGUAAUACGGAGGGUGCAAGCGUUAUCCGGAUUUAUUGGGUUUAAAGGGUCCGUAGGCGGACUGAUAAGUCAGUGGUGAAAUCCGACAGCUUAACUGUCGAACUGCCAUUGAUACUGUUAGUCUUGAGUAAGGUUGAAGUGGCUGGAAUAAGUAGUGUAGCGGUGAAAUGCAUAGAUAUUACUUAGAACACCAAUUGCGAAGGCAGGUCACUAAGUCUUAACUGACGCUGAUGGACGAAAGCGUGGGGAGCGAACAGGAUUAGAAACCCCUGUAGUCCCAUG